UACGUAGGGGGCUAGCGUUGUCCGGAAUCAUUGGGCGUAAAGCGCGCGUAGGCGGCCAGAUAAGUCCGGUGUGAAAGUCACAGGCUCAACCUGUGAAUGCCGCUGGAAACUGUCUGGCUCGAGUCCGGGAGGGCGAGUGGAAUUCCUGGUGUAGCGGUGAAAUGCGCAGAUAUCAGGAGGAACACCAAUGGCGAAGGCAGCUCGCUGGAACGGUACUGACGCUGAGGCGCGAAAGCGUGGGGAGCGAACAGG
rnacentral:rRNA from 1 species